UACGGAGGGGGCUAGCGUUGUUCGGAAUUACUGGGCGUAAAGGGCGCGUAGGCGGUCCGCUAAGUCUGAUGUGAAAGCCCGGGGCUCACCCUCGGAAGGGCAUUGGAAACUGGCCGACUCGAGUCCCGUAGAGGGAGGUGGAAUUCCUGGUGUAGCGGUGAAAUGCGUAGAUAUCAGGAGGAACACCAGUGGCGAAGGCGGCCAACUGGACCGAGACUGACGCUGAGGUGCGAAAGCGUGGGGAGCAAACAGG
rnacentral:rRNA from 1 species